rnacentral:rRNA from 1 species
UACGUAGGGGGCGAGCGUUGUCCGGAAUCAUUGGGCGUAAAGAGCGUGUAGGCGGCUUGGCAAGUCUGACGUGAAAUCCCGCGGCUCAACCGCGGUAGGUCGUUGGAAACUGCCUCGCUAGAGUCCGGAAGAGGAGAGCGGAAUUCCUGGUGUAGCGGUGGAAUGCGCAGAUAUCAGGAGGAACACCAAGUGGCGAAGGCAGCUCGCUGGAACGGUACUGACGCUGAGGCGCGAAAGCGUGGGGAGCAAACAGG